rnacentral:rRNA from 2 species
UCCAGGCAAAUCCGGAUAAUCAAGGCUGAGGUGUGAUGACGAGGCACUACGGUGCUGAAGUAACAAAUGCCCUGCUUCCAGGAAAAGCCUCUAAGCAUCAGGUAACAUUAAAUCGUACCCCAAACCGACACAGGUGGUCAGGUAGAGAAUACCAAGGCGCUUGAGAGAACUCGGGUGAAGGAACUAGGCAAAAUGGUGCCGUAACUUCGGGAGAAGGCACGCUGGUGUGUAGGUGA